UGGUUAGAGUGUAGAGGAGGCAGGGUAGCCUAGUGGUUAGAGUGUAGAGGCGGCAGGUAGCCUAGUGGUUAGAGUGUAGAGGAGGCAGGGUAGCCUAGUGGUUAGAGUGUAGAGGUGGCAGGGUAGCCUAGUGGUUAGAGUGUAGAGGAGGCAGGGUAGCCUAGUGGUUAGAGUGUAGAGGAGGCAGGGUAGCCUAGUGGUUAGAGUGUAGAGGAGGCAGGUAGCCUAGUGGUUAGAGUGUAGAGGAGGCAGGGUAGCCUAGUGGUUAGAGUGUAGAGGAGGCAGGUAGCCUAGUGGUUAGAGUGUAGAGGAGGCAGGUAGCCUAGUGGUUAGAGUGUAGAGGAGGCAGGUAGCCUAGUGGUUAGAGUGUAGAGGUGGCAGGUAGCCUAGUGGUUAGAGUGUAGAGGAGGCAGGUAGCCUAGUGGUUAGAGUGUAGAGGAGGCAGGUAGCCUAGUGGUUAGAGUGUAGAGGAGGCAGGGUAGCCUAGUGGUUAGAGUGUAGAGGAGGCAGGUAGCCUAGUGGUUAGAGUGUAGAGGAGGCAGGUAGCCUAGUGGUUAGAGUGUAGAGGCGGCAGGUAGCCUAGUGGUUAGAGUGUAGAGGAGGCAGGUAGCCUAGUGGUUAGAGUGUAGAGGAGGCAGGUAGCCUUGUGGUUAGAGUGUAGAGGCGGCA